rnacentral:lncRNA from 1 species
CACGGAGAAGCAAACCCUGGAGGAGCUGAAGUCUUUCUAUGAGCUGAUCCGCAAAGUCAAAGGCAAGACCUUGCGCAAGUACCUUAUCAUGCUGGUGGGCGACAAAUGCCAAGAAAGCCUCUGGAGUCGACGUAAGUGACCACGCUGCGUGCGCGUUGCAGUGGAAUUGCACCUUCUUGGAGACCUCCGCUAAGAUGGCGAUCAACGUGCAGGAGCUAUUUGACAUGCUGCCGAACCACGACAGGAAGCCUGCCACCUGCCUUCACCAUCCCCAGAAGAAACCCCAGAUGUCCAAGACCGUGGAGAAGGGGCUUAGCAAGUGCAUCAUCAUGUGAGCCCGGGGUCUUAGGAUCUUGACCUUCUCUCUUACCGUGUGCAGAAAACACAGAGCGGCCCCAGUGUAACGUGUUACCUGUGCGUGGACGACUCCUGUGCUGCGAGUUAGGUGACAACUAGAUGACAGUAAAUGUCCCUUCUACUCCCGACCUUGCGAGUUGGGUGAAUGAAAUCAAGGAGCACCCACGAAAGCCCAGCGCACACAGCCCCGCACACGGUAAGUCCUCAGCAGCUUCAUGGAAGGGAACUGAUGCUACUUUCUCUCCCUACCUCUCCUAGACCUUUCCCCCAUGGUUAGUGCAAAUGUCACUCUACCCAACGCCCACUGCCGCUGGACUCUUGGAGAUUAUCUUUGCCUGGUAUUUGUAGGAGAAGCACAUCUGAAAAAAUCCAUUUCUGAACGCUCUAUCCUCAGGUAUGGGAGGUAACUAGCCUGCCACGUGAACACGUGUCCUGUUUACUCUUUUUGCUCUGAAAGCAUCUGAAACCUCUUUGUAAAGGUAGUCAUUAGUACAGAGUGAGAGAGAAAAAGGGAUUUGGAGAGAAAUUAUGGCUAAUUGUGGUCCUCUAUCUGGGUGUUUUCUUCUCUCUGCAACCUGGAGCUGAAUAUUGUGAAACGUAUUUGUUCCCGGUGUAAUUGAAAUGGGAAUUAGGUAGUGCGAUGGGCUGGGCCAUUUGAGGACAAGGCAGCUUGUCACAUGUUUGGAACUAAUGCUUGAAAAUGCCCACCCAAGUGAGAAUGCCUCAUGUCCUGCUGGCAGGGGCGCUCUUUACGGUGCUCACCUCAGUAUCAGCUCUGCCAUUCUUAGCUAGCUGGCAGGCUCUGAAAAUGCCAGUGGACUGUAGGUUUUUCUCAUCUGUAAAAUGAGAGGAUCUCAGACUCCAGGUGCACAGCCAGCAGACAGGGAGUCUAAGUGGUGGCACAGAGGAAAAUUAUGCCCAAUCUAGAGGAAACUGCCUCUAUUCAGUUCUAUUGGGAAAGGUGAAGCCAGGGUUACAAAAUUUUGCUGAUUUUUAUUGGGACUCUAACAAUUCUUAAAUAUUGGCAACUAAUUAGAAAUUGUUCAUAAAAAAUUUUAUUUGGGUCUAAUUAUGUCAGGCCUGCCAGCCACCAAUUAGAGACCUCAGGCUAGAGAAUAUGGGAAUUUCCUUACUAUUCAGAAAUAUUGGGAUGUCUUCAUUAUCAUCUGGGGGAAUAAAAAAGUACAGAGGUAAUUCUCUUGUAGUGUU